CCCUUAGAUGUUCUGGGCCGCACGCGUGCUACACUGAGUGGAUCAGCGGGUCAGGUUGCGCGAAAGCGUUUCCUAAUCUUUAAAUCCGCUCGUGAUGGGGAUUGACGGUUGCAAUUUUCUGUCAUGAACGAGGAAUACCUUGUAAGCGCGGGUCAUCAUCCCGCGCUGAAUACGUCCCUGCCCUUUGUACACACCGCCCGUCGCUCCUACCGAUUGAAUGGUUUAGUGAGGACUCCUGAUUGGCGCCGCCGCCCCGGCAACGGAGCAGCGGACUGCCGAAAAGUUGUUCAAACUUGAUCAUUUAGAGGAAGUAAAAGUCGUAACA
rnacentral:rRNA from 1 species